rnacentral:rRNA from 1 species
UACGGGGGGGGGUAAGCGUUGUUCGGAAUUACUGGGCGUAAAGGGCUCGUAGGCGGCCAACUAAGUCAGACGUGAAAUCCCUCAGCUUAACUGGGGAACUGCGUCUGAUACUGGAUGGCUUGGAUCCGGGAGAGGGAUGCGGAAUUCCAGGUGUAGCGGUGAAAUGCGUAGAUAUCUGGAGGAACACCGGUGGCGAAGGCGGUUCUCUGGGCAUUACCUGACGCUGAGGAGCGAAAGUGUGGGGGAGCGAACAGG